CAUUUACUCUCUCCGUCCGGAAAUACUUGUCGAAGAAAUGCAUAAAAGUGGAUGUAUCUUGAACUAAAAUACGUCUAGAUACAUCCAUUCUUUCGACAAGUAUUUCCGAACGGAGGGAGUACAUG
rfam:Triticum aestivum genome assembly, contig: Triticum_aestivum_CS42_TGACv1_scaffold_513165_6BS